rnacentral:rRNA from 1 species
GACGAACGCUGGCGGCGUGCUUAACACAUGCAAGUCGAACGGAAAGGCCCUGCUUUUGUGGGGUGCUCGAGUGGCGAACGGGUGAGUAACACGUGAGUAACCUGCCCUUGACUUUGGGAUAACUUCAGGAAACUGGGGCUAAUACCGGAUAGGAGCUCCUGCUGCAUGGUGGGGGUUGGAAAGUUUCGGCGGUUGGGGAUGGACUCGCGGCUUAUCAGCUUGUUGGUGGGGUAGUGGCUUACCAAGGCUUUGACGGGUAGCCGGCCUGAGAGGGUGACCGGCCACAUUGGGACUGAGAUACGGCGCAGACGCCUACGGGAGGCAGCAGUGGGGAGUAUUGCACAAUGGGCGGAAGCCUGAUGCAGCAACGCCGCGUGCGGGAUGACGGCCUUCGGGUUGUAAACCGCUUUCGCCUGUGACGAAGCGUGAGUGACGGUAAUGGGUAAAGAAGCACCGGCUAACUACGUG